rnacentral:rRNA from 1 species
AUGGAUGAACAGAUUUCUUGUAGUGUUGCUUGCGAGAAGAAUAAUACUAUUGCGCAGGUGCUCAGUUCAUCCCCGCCGAAUAUUUCGUUCAAGCGGGAUUUGAUUGGGCCUCGCCUUACGUCAUGGCAUAAUCUAUUGUCCAAGCUGGAUUCGAUUAACCUGACACAAGGUCGGGAUGUGUUUCGCUGGAACCUUACUACAUCAGGGUCUUUCACAAUAGAGUCCAUGUACCAUGCACUCAUGCAUUCUGAGGUACUAGUGAAUAAUAAUAAGAAACUAUGGAAGUAA